rnacentral:rRNA from 1 species
AUACGUAGGUGGCGAGCGUUGUCCGGAAUUAUUGGGCGUAAAGAGCAUGUAGGCGGCUUAAUAAGUCGAGCGUGAAAAUGCGGGGCUCAACCCCGUAUGGCGCUGGAAACUGUUAGGCUUGAGUGCAGGAGAGGAAAGGGGAAUUCCCAGUGUAGCGGUGAAAUGCGUAGAUAUUGGGAGGAACACCAGUGGCGAAGGCGCCUUUCUGGACUGUGUCUGACGCUGAGAUGCGAAAGCCAGGGUAGCGAACGGGAUUAGAUACCCCGGUAGUCCUGGCCGUAAACGAUGGGUACUAGGUGUAGGAGGUAUCGACCCCUUCUGUGCCGGAGUUAACGCAAUAAGUACCCCGCCUGGGGAGUACGGCCGCAAGGUCGAAACUCAAAGGAAUUGACGGGG